UCAGACCUGAAGACCCACCUCCUCCUGGCACAGCUGGAGCAACUGGAACUCCCAGAGGCAGACAGUGAUGCACCAGCUCCAGAACCCGCUGGGGAAACCCCUUUGGAUGGAGAGCCAGCUCCAGCUCUCCUGCCUGCGACAGCGCCAGAGCCAGAGCCAGAGUCAGAGCCAGAGCAGAGGGAUGCACUGUCCUGUGAGGCAGAAACCUCCUCUCUGUUCUCUGCUGUGGAGCCAGGGCCCAGCUCAGGGGCUCCAUCAACAAUCCCUGAGACCCUUGGGAAGAGCCUGGUCAUGUCAUGAGCAAGAUAAGGACUUAGACUAGAAGGCACACCCAGGACUUUGAUCUUAUGGAUUU